AGAGGGGUAAGGCUGUCAGUGGUAGUGACUUGGUCCAGGAGGCAGAGGAUGCCUUCAGAAAGGAGGAGACUGUCGAGAGAAACUGAGGAGCCGGCCUACAGAGGGAACGUAGAAUAAUGAGGAGAGACACCUAAGCAAGUCAGGAUGUGUGCACCAGCAGGAAACACAGCUGGAACUUUAACAAGCAGAGGGGACGCUCCACCCAUGGUUUUAAGAAAAGAAGUGAGAUAGGAAGAAGGACUAACACAGAUGAUUUUUCCAACUCCAAGACCUGCAUUGCUCUCUUCCCAACUUCUGUUCAUCCAGCUGCACCACUAGCCAUUCCACUCUCAUGAAUGGAUUGAACAUCGAAUACCACACAUGCUAAGCCAUGUCAUGUGUCCAGAAGACA